rnacentral:rRNA from 1 species
CUCCGGUUGAUCCUGCCGGACCCGACUGCUAUCGGAUUGAGAUUUAGCCAUGCGAGUCGAACGUCCCCCUGUUGCGGGGGGCGUGGCGUACGGCUCAGUAACACGUAGUCAACCUGCCCUGGAGACAAGGACAACCCCGGGAAACUGGGAUUAAUCCUUGAUAGGUCAUCUCAUCUGGAAGGAGAGAUGGCUUAAAGGGGUACGCGGGCUUCUUCCGCGAAUCUGCUCCAGGAUGGGACUGCGUCCGAUCAGGCUGUUGGCGGGGUAAUGGCCCACCAAACCUGUAACCGGUACGGGCCUUGAGAGAGGUGGCCCGGAGAUGGACACUGAGAGAAGGGUCCAGGUCCUACGGGGCGCAGCAGGCGCGAAACCUUCGCAAUGCGCGAAAGCGUGACGAGGUUAAUCCGAGUGACUCCCGCUGAGGGGGUCUUUUGUCAGCUGUAAAUAGGCAGGCGAAUAAGGGGAGGGCAAGCCUGGUGUCAGCCGCCGCGGUAAUACCAGCUCCUCGAGUGGUCGGGGCGAUUAUUGGGCCUAAAGCAUCCGUAGCCGGUUCCGUAGGUCCUCUGUUAAAUCCAACCGCUUAACGGUUGACCUGCAGAGGAUACCGCGGGACUAGGAGGCGGGAGAGGCGGACGGUACUCCGCGUGUAGGGGUAAAAUCCUUUGAUCCGCGGAAGACCACCAGUGGCGAAGGCGGUCCGCCAGAACGCGCUCGACGGUGAGGGAUGAAAGCUGGGGGAGCGAACCGGAUUAGAUACCCGGGUAGUCCCAGCCGUAAACGAUGCUAGCUAGAUGAUUCAUUCGCAAGUCGCGAAUGAAGUGUCGCAGGGAAGCCGUUAAGCUAGCCGCCUGGGGAGUACGGUCGCAAGACUGAAACUUAAAGAAUUUGGCGGGGGAGCA